rnacentral:rRNA from 1 species
UACGGAGGAUCCAAGCGUUAUCCGGAAUCAUUGGGUUUAAAGGGUCCGUAGGCGGUUUAGUAAGUCAGUGGUGAAAGCCCAUCGCUCAACGGUGGAACGGCCAUUGAUACUGCUAGACUUGAAUUAUUAGGAAGUAACUAGAAUAUGUAGUGUAGCGGUGAAAUGCUUAGAGAUUACAUGGAAUACCAAUUGCGAAGGCAGGUUACUACUAAUGGAUUGACGCUGAUGGACGAAAGCGUGGGUAGCGAACAGGAUUAGAA